UCCCUGGAGGACUAGUGGUAAGGCCUUGGUGGUCUCACCGCCGCGGCCCGGGUUCGAUUCCUGACCAGGGAA